rnacentral:rRNA from 1 species
CCUACACAUGCAAGUCGAACGAAGUAGCAAUACUUAGUGGCAGACGGGUGAGUAACAUGUAGGUAUCUGCCCUUUGGCCUGGAAUAACACGAGGAAACUUGUGCUAAUACCGGAUAAGUCUUUACGGAGAAAGCUUUAUGCACCAUUGGAUGAGCCUGCACUUGAUUAGUUUGUUGGUGGGGUAAUGGCCUACCAAGACUGUGAUCAAUAGCUGAUUUGAGAGGAUGAUCAGCCACAUUGGGACUGAGACACGGCCCAAACUCCUACGGGAGGCAGCAGUGGGGAAUCUUGCACAAUGGAGGAAACUCUGAUGCAGCGAUGCCGCGUGAGUGAAGAAGGCCCUUGGGUUGUAAAGCUCUUUCGUCGGGGAAGAAAAUGACUGUACCCGAAUAAGAAGGUCCGGCUAACUUCGUGCCAGCAGCCGCGGUAAUACGAAGGGACCUAGCGUAGUUCGGAAUUACUGGGCUUAAAGAGUUCGUAGGUGGUUGAAAAAGUUAGUGGUGAAAUCCCAGAGCUUAACUCUGGAACUGCCAUUAAAACUUUUCAGCUAGAGUAUGAUAGAGGAAAGCAGAAUUUCUAGUGUAGAGGUGAAAUUCGUAGAUAUUAGAAAGAAUACCAAUUGCGAAGGCAGCUUUCUGGAUCAUUACUGACACUGAGGAACGAAAGCAUGGGUAGCGAAGAGGAUUAGAUACCCUCGUAGUCCAUGCCGUAAACGAUGUGUGUUAGACGUUGGAGAUUUAUUUUCAGUGUCGCAGCGAAAGCGAUAAACACACCGCCUGGGGAGUACGACCGCAAGGUUAAAACUCAAAGGAAUUGACGGGGGCCCGCACAAGCGGUGGAUUAUGUGGUUUAAUU